GACGGGGGAUGCAAGCGUUAUCCGGAAUCACUGGGCGUAAAGCGUCUGUAGAUGGUGAUGCAAGUCACUGGUGCAAAACUCUGGCUCAACCGGAGGAAAACCAGUGAAACUGCAUGACUAGAGAGUGGGAGAGGUAGAAGGAAUUCCCUGAGUAGCGGUGAAAUGCGUAGAUACAGGGAAGAACACCGGAGGCGAAAGCGUUCUACUGGAACACAACUGACACUGAGAGACGAAAGCUAGGGGAGCGAAUGGG
rnacentral:rRNA from 1 species